rnacentral:snoRNA from 11 species
UUGCAUGAUGAAUUCUUAAAUCGCUGUGUUCUUACCGAACCACCUUGACGAAACAACAAAGAUUCACCUUGGAGAACUGAACU